rnacentral:rRNA from 1 species
AUACGGAGGGAGCUAGCGUUGUUCGGAUUUACUGGGCGUAAAGCGCGCGUAGGCGGAUUGAUUAGUCAGAGGUGAAAUCCCAGGGCUCAACCCUGGAACUGCCUUUGAUACUGUCAGUCUAGAGACCGAGAGAGGUGAGUGGAAUUUCCAGUGUAGAGGUGAAAUUCGUAGAUAUUGGAAAGAACACCAGUGGCGAAGGCGGCUCACUGGCUCGGUACUGACGCUGAGGUGCGAAAGCGUGGGGAGCAAACAGAAUUAGAUACCCUAGUAGUCC